CUAAACAGGAUUCCCUUAGUAACGGCGAGUGAAAAGGGAUGAGCCCAGCGCUGAAUCUCUCGGUCUAAGGCCGCUGAGAACUGUAGCGUAUAGGUUUGACUGUCUGUUUGCUAUGUAUUCUCCAAGUUCCUUUGAUAGGGGCUAGUUCAGUCCCGAGAGGGUGCUAGACCUGUGCGAGAAUUGUAGUGAGCAGUUGGUUGUUCCUUGGAGUCGUGUUGCUUGAAAGUGCAGCAUAAAGUAGGUGAUAGACUUCAUCUAAGGCUAAAUAUAACCAUGAAUUCGAUAGCUAACAAGUACCGCGAGGGAAAGUUGCAAAGAACUUUGAAGAGAGAGUUCAAGAGAACGUGAAAUCGCUGGAGUAUGCGGAGAGAGUUGACGUAACCCGGUAGCUAAGUUGUUCUUCGGAGCGAUGGUGCUGCUUAUGGUUGCAUUGGUGGCGUUGGUUAGCAACGACAGCUGCGUAGUUUAGCCCACUUCGGUGGUGUCUAGCUUGUGGUCUUGUUGUUGUCGGCUAGCGUGUAAGCCCUGUUCACAGGGUGCCAAUGUCCUAGUCGACCACCUCUCUGACCCGUCUUGAAACACGGACCGAGGAGUGUAUCUAGUACGCGAGUCAAAGGGUGGAAAACCCCAUGGCGCAAUGAAAGUAAAUCCGGUUCAUCCGGUGACAUAGGACCCGUUCUUCUGAGCGGAGCACUAUGGCCCUGUCUUGACUGCUUGCAGUUGGGCAGAGGUAGAGCGUACUGGAUGCGACCCGAAAGAUGGUGAACUAUACCUGAGCAGGAUGAAGCCAGAGGAAACUCUGGUGGAAGUCCGUAUCGCUUCUGACGUGCAAAUCGAUCGAUAGACUUGGGUAUAGGGGCGAAAGACCAAUCGAACCAUCU
rnacentral:rRNA from 1 species